rnacentral:rRNA from 2 species
CUAUACAUGCAGUCGAGGGGUAGAGGUUGCUUGCAACCUUGAGACCGGCGCACGGGUGCGUAACGCGUAUGCAACCUACCUUGAUCUGGGGGAUAGCCCGAAGAAAUUCGGAUUAACACCGCAUAAAAUCACAGUACCGCAUGGUACAAUGAUCAAAUAUUUAUAGGAUUGAGAUGGGCAUGCGUGUCAUUAGUUAGUUGGCGGGGUAACGGCCCACCAAGACCGCGAUGACUAGGGGAUCUGAGAGGAUGGCCCCCCACACUGGUACUGAGACACGGACCAGACUCCUACGGGAGGCAGCAGUAAGGAAUAUUGGUCAAUGGAGGCAACUCUGAACCAGCCAUGCCGCGUGCAGGAAGACAGCCCUCUGGGUCGUAAACUGCUUUUAUUCGGGAAUAAACCUACUUACGUGUAAGUAGCUGAAUGUACCGAAGGAAUAAGGAUCGGCUAACUCCGUGCCAGCAGCCGCGGUAAUACGGAGGAUCCAAGCGUUAUCCGGAUUUAUUGGGUUUAAAGGGUGCGUAGGCGGCCUGUUAAGUCAGGGGUGAAAGACGGUAGCUCAACUAUCGCAGUGCCCUUGAUACUGAUGGGCUUGAAUACACUAGAGGUAGGCGGAAUGUGACAAGUAGCGGUGAAAUGCAUAGAUAUGUCACAGAACACCGAUNGCGAAGGCAGCUUACUAUGGUGUCAUUGACGCUGAGGCACGAAAGCGUGGGGAUCAAACAGGAUUAGAUACCCUGGUAGUCCACGCCCUAAACGAUGAAUACUCGCUGUUAGCGAUAUACAGUUAGCGGCUAA